GAUGAACGCUGGCGGCGUGCCUAAUACAUGCAAGUCGAGCGAAUGGAUUAAGAGCUUGCUCUUAUGAAGUUAGCGGCGGACGGGUGAGUAACACGUGGGUAACCUGCCCAUAAGACUGGGAUAACUCCGGGAAACCGGGGCUAAUACCGGAUAACAUUUUGAACCGCAUGGUUCGAAAUUGAAAGGCGGCUUCGGCUGUCACUUAUGGAUGGACCCGCGUCGCAUUAGCUAGUUGGUGAGGUAACGGCUCACCAAGGCAACGAUGCGUAGCCGACCUGGGAGGGUGAUCGGCCAAACUGGGACUGAGACACGGCCCAGACUCCUACGGGAGGCAGCAGUAGGAAAUCUUCCGCAAUGGACGAAAGUCUGACGGAGCAACGCCACGUGAGUGAUGAAGGCUUUCGGGUCGUAAAACUCUGUUGUUAGGGAAGAACGAGUGCUAGUUGAAUAAGCUGGCACCUUGACGGUACCUAACCAGAAAGCCACGGCUAACUACGUGCCAGCCGCCGCGGUAA
rnacentral:rRNA from 1 species